CGUGUUUCUAAAGGAACAAACAUAUUACAUUGAUACACUUUUGAGAUAUUUUAUGAUUAUUUACAAUGUUAUUCUUAUUUUGUGAUUUUCUCUUUUCUUCCAUGAAAAGUUAUUAAAUACUAAAAAUUUGAUAUAAAAAUAGCUAAUUAAUUAUUAUGAUUGGAAAUUUUUAUAGAACCAUUUAACAAGUGUGUUAAAGGGACAAACACGACACAUUAGUGUAUAUAAAAGACAAUUCAUAAAAUUCAUAAAUAAUAUAAUUUUAGGAUUUCUUUAGCAACUCUACAACCUCUUUGCAUAAAUAAACUUAUUAUUUCUACAAACUAUUUAAUUGAUCUAAGUUGAGCAUGAUAUAUAUACAUCAUAAAUUAAGUGAUAGAAUCAUAUCCUAGUUGAUUAAUUCAUAUAAUAGAAAAUAUGGCAAAAUAUAUUCACUUUAUUUAUGUUAUGUUUUUUGUUCUCUCUUUCUUUUUUGUAGCAACGAUGGUUAAUGCUGGUGGUAAAAAAUGUGUUGAUAUUGCUGAUUGUCCAAAGGAAUUGUGCGCACGUACUUUGUCACCAAUGUGUUAUUUUGGUUAUUGUAUUUGCAAAUGAAUAUUCAUGUGUUGUGAUUUAGUCAUUGAUAUUGGCAUCUAAUAAUUUAGUUUUCUUUUAGUUUUAAUAAUUCCAAGUAUCUUGUUGUUAUGGCCUUCUACUAGAUUAUUUUAUACAAAAUAUAAAUUUGUCUCCUUUUCUUUCAA